rnacentral:rRNA from 1 species
GAUGAACGCUAGCUACAGGCUUAACACAUGCAAGUCGAGGGACCGGCGCACGGGUGAGUAACACGUAUCCAACCUGCCCUUUACUCGGGGAUAGCCUUUCGAAAGAAAGUUUAAUAUCCGAUAUAAAGGAUGGGGAUGCGUUCCAUUAGGUUGUUGGUGAGGUAACGGCCCACCAAGCCUUCGAUGGAUAGGGGUUCUGAGAGGAAGCACCCCUACAUUGGAGCUGAGACACGGUCCAAACUGGUACGGGAGGCAGCAGUGAGGAAUAUUGGGCAAUGGGCGCUAGCCUGAACCAGCCGAGUAGCGUGAAGGAUGCAUGGUUAGGAGUCUUAAACUUCCUUUAUAUAAGAAUAUGUAUUAGAUGAAUAAGGAUCGGCUAACUCCGUGCCAGCAGCCGCGGUAAUAC